rnacentral:tRNA from 1 species
UAUGGGGUGGUCGAUAAAGUCGGUAGAUUGUAAAUCUAUGUAUAAGUAUAACUUUCUCAUAA